CCUACGGGAGGCAGCAGUGGGGAAUAUUGGGCAAUGGGCGCAAGCCUGACCCAGCAACGCCGCGUGAAGGAAGAAGGCUUUCGGGUUGUAAACUUCUUUUGUCAGGGAAGAGUAGAAGACGGUACCUGACGAAUAAGCCACGGCUCACUACGUGCCAGCAGCCGCGGUAAUACGUAGGUGGUAAGCGUUGUCCGGAUUUACUGGGUGUAAAGGGCGUGUAGCCGGGUUGACAAGUCAGAUGUGAAAUCCUGCGGCUUAACCGCAGAACUGCAUUUGAAACUGUUGAUCUUGAGUACUGGAGAGGCAGACGGGAUUCCGAGUGUAGCGGUGAAAUGCGUAGAUAUUAGGAGGGACACCAGUGGCGGAGGCGGUCUGCUGGACAGCAACUGACGGUGAGGCGCGAAAGCGUGGGGAGCAAACAGGAUUAGAUACCCCAGUAGUC
rnacentral:rRNA from 1 species